rnacentral:rRNA from 1 species
CGGGGGGAGCAAGCGUUGUUCGGAUUUACUGGGCGUAAAGGGCGCGUAGGCGGUCAGCACUAGUCAGUUGUGAAAUCUCCGAGCUUAACUCGGAAAGGUCAACUGAUACUGUGCGACUAGAGUGCAGAAGGGGCAACUGGAAUUCUCGGUGUAGCGGUGAAAUGCGUAGAUAUCGAGAGGAACACCUGCGGCGAAGGCGGGUUGCUGGGCUGACACUGACGCUGAGGCGCGAAAGCUAGGGGAGCGAACGGGAUUAGAUACCCCGGUAGUCCUAGCCUUAAACGAUGAAUGCUUGGUGUCUGGGGUUAUAUAGUCCCCGGGUGCCGUCGCUAACGCUUUAAGCAUUCCGCCUGGGGAGUACGGUCGCAAGACUG